AUGUUAAUUUCAGACACUGCGGACGUCCAAAAGCAGAACUCCUGUGAGGAACCGGGACAUCCAGGAUGGUGAGGAGCUUCCCAGUCCCCACCUGAGGACGGCACAGAGAAAGACUGGAACAGAAAACACACGGAGGAAAGCAGGUUGAACAUGGAAGCAGUGUUCUAGCAGUCGGAUCACAUCGGAACAGAGUCCAUCCACACGUGUUUGGAGGAGCUGAAGAAGAGGAUGAAGCACACAGACCGCUAAGGAGGAGAGACAUGGCUCCUAUAUUUCUCUUUAACAUUCUGGAGUCCUGGAGUAAAACAACGUUGACGACCCUGCAGCUAAACCAUCAGUCUGCUACACCCAGUAGAAGAAGAUGAGGUCAUCUGUUCCUUGGACCGGCGCCUCUGUGUCUGUUGGACGUCAGUAGAUGGGCGCUGACAUGGAGGUUCCUUCCUGUUUGAAGCUAGUUUUCCUCUCUACUGUGACCACUUCAUUGCUCAGGAGGGACUGCUGCAAAAUUAACGACUGGAUGUGAUUGGCUGAGCUUCCUUGGAUUGAAGACAUUUCUCUAAACACCAUAAUAAGCUGAAUUUAUCUUCCCCAUGUUGUAAAUAGGAUUGGACUGGACUGGAUGUUUGUUUUUCAAUUUGAUUCUGUUUGUGUUGAAUUCUGUUACAUGUUUCUGUAUUAAAGCUGUCAUGUUAAUUGCCUUUAGAUGACAUUUGUUGGGACUUGUU